rnacentral:rRNA from 1 species
AGUGAACGCUGGCGGUAGGCCUAACACAUGCAAGUCGAACGGCAGCACAGUAAGAGCUUGCUCUUACGGGUGGCGAGUGGCGGACGGGUGAGGAAUACAUCGGAAUCUACUUUUUCGUGGGGGAUAACGUAGGGAAACUUACGCUAAUACCGCAUACGACCUACGGGUGAAAGCAGGGGAUCUUCGGACCUUGCGCGAUUGAAUGAGCCGAUGUCGGAUUAGCUAGUUGGCGGGGUAAAGGCCCACCAAGGCGACGAUCCGUAGCUGGUCUGAGAGGAUGGAUAGGCAAACCUGAACUGGGGAAAGGGCCAGACUCCUUAGGGAGGCAGCAGUUGGGAAAAUUUGACAAAGGGGGGAAGCCUGAACCAGCCAAUACGGGUUGGUGGAGAAGGGCUUCGGGUUUGAAAGGCCCUUUUGUGGGGAAGAAAAGCAGCAGGGUAAUACCCCGGUGGUCUGACGGUAACCAAAGAAAAAGCAACGGCUAACUUUGUU